rnacentral:tmRNA from 1 species
GGCCUUUCCAUCCGCGCGCGGCCCCCCUAUAUCGGUCGGGCCGGCGGGCUUGCCCGUCCGGAUAUGGCGAUAAAGGAUUGCGUGCAAUAGAUGCAGCGGACCCGGGGGCAGUACCCGGCGGCUCCACCACAAGUGGUGGUGUACUUGGACACCGUUUCUGACGGGGCCGAACCAGGAUCGACGUGUAUUGAAAAGCGUAUGUCUUUCGCUCGGAAUGGGACCACCGCAACGGCCCAUUACACAAGUGCCAACGAUAACGAAGCACUCGCAAUUGCAGCGUAACCCCAAGGCCUAACGGCUUAAGGUUAUUCUAAAAUGCGCGGUCGGGCGCACCGGGCAACAGAAGCGACUCCGGCGGUUUGGGGGGCACCGAGCAACAGAAGCUCCCCACU